rnacentral:rRNA from 1 species
CACCGCGGUUAUACGAGAGGCCCAAGUUGAUAGACUCCGGCGUAAAGCGUGGUUAAGACAAAUUUUAAACUAAAGCCGAACGCCCUCAGAGCUGUUAUACGCUCCCGAGGGUAAGAAGCCCAAUCACGAAAGUGGCUUUAUACCAACUGAACCCACGAAAGCUAUGACA